CAGGACAAGGACAGUGAUCAUCCAUUGUGAGGCCACACCUCAGAUUCCAUUUUCAGUUCUAGGCCCUUCACUGAGUACAGGACAGAUAUUGCGGUGCUGAAGCAUGUCCAGAGAAGGGCAAUAGAGCUGGUGAAGAGUCUGGAGCCCAAGAGCUAUGAGGAAAGGCUGAGAGAGCCCGGGUUGCUUAGCCUGGAGAAAAAGAGGCUCAGGAGGCACCUUACUGCUCUCUAAAACUAUCUGAAAAUAGGAACACAUGUAAACCAGUGAAUGACCAAUGACAGCAAAUACCAACUGUAUUUCCUCUAAGAUACAGGUACUCUGAAUAGUAUUUAUCUUUUUACACCGUGAGUUACUGAGAGGAGGAACUGUGAUUUCAUACAAUUGUCUAAGGACCUAGUCUAAUGGAAACCAGAUUAUCAUCUCAAUACUUUGGACUUUCUUCAGCCUGAACAUAAUAUCCAUUAUGCAGUAAAAAAAUUGAAUUGGCUAUAAUCUUAUUCGACAGUUGCAAAAGAAAAAUCCAUUAAUUCUUGGGGCAAAAAAAUCAGAGGAGAAAGGACAAAAAAGAAUCUCUUUUCUCACCUCUGCAGUUGGCAGUGGAAAACUGACUCCUGCUAAUAAAACCAAAAAAACCCCAGAUCAUCAGCAGGGAAGAAGCACUUCAUCUAAUCUAAUUUUUUUGUCCUGUGGCCCUGGCAGUGCACUGUUUGGCUGCCUGGGGAGUGUCACCACUCAGAAAGGCCAAGGUCACCCCAAAGUCAGCAGUGCCCAGAGCAUCACUCUAAGUAUGGCACCCUCAACACUGCAACAAGCACUGCUGUAGGGCAGCUUCCACACACUUUAAAACACAUGUUGUGGAAGGCUCACUACAGCCAUUUAAAACAAGACAAGAAAAAUAGGGGAGUCAGCUGUGCCUUACCACUCAAAAUAUAAUGAGUGCAGCUCCACUGAAAAUGAGCAAGUGAGUGGGAGAUCUGUAUGUAAUGGCACAGAAGUGGAGCCCUCUCAUCACCAAAAUCUGAAGAACUUGUAAAAGCCACUGGAUUUUGUUAAACUUUUAUUUGUGAGGUAAAUCUGGAGAACUACUGGGGGAAAAAGUAGAGGAAUAUGGGUCAGAUGGAAAAGCAGAUGUACUAU